rnacentral:rRNA from 1 species
GAACGCGAAGAACCUUACCAGGUCUUGACAUCCCGAUGCUAUUUCUAGAGAUAGAAAGUUACUUCGGUACAUCGGUGACAGGUGGUGCAUGGUUGUCGUCAGCUCGUGUCGUGAGAUGUUGGGUUAAGUCCCGCAACGAGCGCAACCCCUAUUGUUAGUUGCCAUCAUUUAGUUGGGCACUCUAGCGAGACUGCCGGUAAUAAACCGGAGGAAGGUGGGGAUGACGUCAAAUCAUCAUGCCCCUUAUGACCUGGGCUACACACGUGCUACAAUGGCUGGUACAACGAGUCGCAAGCCGGUGACGGCAAGCUAAUCUCUUAAAGCCAGUCUCAGUUCGGAUUGUAGGCUGCAACUCGCCUACAUGAAGUCGGAAUCGCUAGUAAUCGCGGAUCAGCACGCCGCGGUGAAUACGUUCCCGGGUCUUGUACACACC